GGUUAAGCGACCAAGCGUACACGGUGGAUGCCCUGGCAGUCAGAGGCGAUGAAGGACGUGCUAAUCUGCGAAAAGCGCCGGUAAGGUGAUAUGAACCGUUAUAACCGGCGAUGUCCGAAUGGGGAAACCCAGUGUGACUCGUCACACUAUCAUUAACUGAAUCCAUAGGUUAAUGAGGCGAACCGGGGGAACUGAAACAUCUAAGUACCCCGAGGAAAAGAAAUCAACCGAGAUUCCCCCAGUAGCGGCGAGCGAACGGGGAGGAGCCCAGAGCCUGAAUCAGCAUGUGUGUUAGUGGAAGCGUCUGGAAAGGCGCGCGAUACAGGGUGAGAGCCCCGUACACAAAAGCGCACGUGCUGUGAGCUCGAUGAGUAGGGCGGGACACGUGGUAUCCUGUCUGAAUAUGGGGGGACCAUCCUCCAAGGCUAAAUACUCCUGACUGACCGAUAGUGAACCAGUACCGUGAGGGAAAGGCGAAAAGAACCCCGGCGAGGGGAGUGAAACAGAACCUGAAACCGUGUACGUACAAGCAGUGGGAGCCCCACCAC
rnacentral:rRNA from 1 species